GGGAUUUGUAGUCUACUGACAAAGUAGGCGGAGUGCGGACGGUCCCCUUUUCUGCUAAGCAAAAGUGCUUGCAGGCAGCGGGGAGGAGCUGCAAGUGGACCGGGGUGGAGUUUUCUGAAGAGUCAGGGUGGCGUGUUUGGGAAGCCUUGUAUGGCAAGGGCAUGUGAAUUCCUGGGGAGGGCCUGGCAAGCUUUACUGCUCCGUGGAAGAUCAAAGCUAAAAGGCCCUUUUUGCAAACCUAGCAAACGUGAGACCUUCACGUGAUUGCAGAACUGACCUCACCCCGAGGUUAUUGGAAGAAUACCCACGAGAAAGGAACGACAUAGAUACAGUGGGGAUAUCCCUGGGGACUCCCUGUUUGUUUUUACGACACCACACUGCCCACUCAACUGACUUUGGGAGCAGCAGUUGAGUCAGGAGUGGAACACGGGUCUGGAGAAGGGCUUGGGUUGUACGGAGAGAUUGAAGCAUCCACAAGCAGCCAGCUGUGGUGGUCCUGCCCACGUCCUCUCGACGAGCAUGUUUCCAUAUGAAGGAAGGGCCAGAGAUCAAGACUCUCUCCUGGAGUGUGCAGCCAGUGAGAAGGCGGAGGGAGCCAGAGCAGCAAUUCAGUCAGCCUAACCCUGCUCUUGGCAAGAAGCAAGGUUGUUUUGCAGUCUGUGUGAGGAGCUUCUGGAAGAAGAGCUGAGGAACCAAGGAACCAGGGCCACCAAUGGAACGUGCUAUCUCACUCAACGGGGACUAGAGUAGACGGGUGGCCUCUCUUUGACCUAAGCCUUGGCUUAAGACAACAGGUGUGGAGGCUAGAGAGAGAUGGUUUAGAGGUUAAGGGCGAUUGCUGCUCUUGCAAAGGACAAGGGUUCAAUUCCCAACACCCAACAUGGCAGCUCACAACCCCCUGUAUCUCCAGCUACAGAGACUCCAGCCCACUCCUCUGGCCUCCAUGAGUUCCAGGCACACAAAUACACGCAGGCAAAAUAACCAUAUGCAUAAAAUAGAAAUUAAGUUUAGAAAGGAAAAAAAAAGACAACAGAUAUAGUUCAAUACAAUCUAUUGUACGGUGGCUGAUCAUGCCUAUAAUCCAAGGAGUUUAGAAGCUAAGGCAGGAGGAUUACUAUGAGUUCAGAGUGAGCCUGGGCUAAUUAGAGUUCCAGGCCACUGAUCCUUGACUACAGUAGAAGACCUGUCUCAAUCAAUCAAUAAAAAUAGUAUCAAAACAAAAACAAAAACAGCUGGACAGAGGUGGCGAA